GGGUUGGCCUGGUGGUUAAGGCGGAGGACUUAGGCUCCUAAGGUCUCAGGUUCGAAACCUCACAGGUACU